UAUUUCAAUGGAGCAGAUUGUCGGAGCUACACUUCUUCAAGUGUAUAUCAGUUACCUUCACUUGGUGCUGUGUGGUCAAGAAGCAGUGAUGCCACUUCACAACCUUCUUGUGCAUGCUUUAGGCCAGGAGUGCUGAAAACGAGGAGCACUUUGUUGUGGAGCAUCAGGCCAGGAGUAUGUGGUGGACCACAGGGAGACUGAAAACAUAGUAAGCAUGAUGGAAGCUUGCUGGAGAGUGCCUGUAGAGAUUCCUUCUCCAACACACCCACUGCAUUCGGAAGCUCCAUGAGGGAAGAACCAGUCUUGGUUCUAAACAAUUGCUCAAUGUGGUGAACAACAUCAUAGGCUUCUCUGGAUGGAUGGCAAAGGGAACCUGACUUGAACUCUUUAAACUGUAACAACAUGCUCUUUUCUCCCACAGGAUUGUCAUCACGCUGCUGUGAUGCAGUUUUGCAUUCUUCACAGAUGCUGGCAAAUUUGAUGAUCUUGUGGACAAUGUAGCCUGCAAGAUGGAAAAGAAUGCAUUGUUCUGUCUUUGUAAUGUCAUGUGCUUCUCCACUCACCACUGUCAGUUGUUCCACUCUAACUGAUGGAGUGACAUUUUUCUCCACUCUGUCCAGGAAGUCUGCCAAAAAGCUACUGUCAUCCUCCUGGUAGCUGCCCGAUUUGAUGAUGGUGAGGAACUGCCCCACAGAUAUAAUUCUGAGAGCAUGGUGGAACUCCACUGGAGUUGGCACAGGAUUUUUUGACCUCACACAGCUGAAUGUAUUUUCAAUGCAGUCUUGUGUGAACCUUGAUGUUAAUACAAACCUGUGUCCUCUCGCCAGCAUCUCCUCCUGUAUGGCCAGAAUUGAUGUUGUUGCCAUUAUCACUCCUGACUGAGCAGGCUUCCACCAUCCCUUUGGACCAAUCUUCAUGCCACGAAACAAAUGGACAAUU